GGAGGAUAGAUUAGACAAUAUGGAGUCCCAUAAAAAGGGGCAGAGGAAGACUGAGAAGAACGCUCAAUGAGGUCAUUGAGUGAAACCUCCUAGUCAACAACAUAUCUAAGGACUGUGUUGUUAACAGAGCACGAUGGCAUCGUGUGAUUCAUGUAGCCAACCCCACCUAGUGGGAUAAGGCUUGUUUUUAAACGUUGAUGCU